UCUCAUCUGUCUGUCACCAAGGAGGCAGACGGGAUGGAGAAACAACAAGUCGCUUGUACCUGAAGAGGAGGACACUCCUGGGAAACAAACAGAUGAGCCACCCCACGAAUCCGAGCCACGCUGGAGGAUGAAGAAAAUGUCAGCUAUUCUCCGGUGAAGAGAGAAGGGGAUUCUUAGAAUCAAAAUCCCUGACAUCCGGACCAAGUUCUUGCCAUUCUGAGGCAAGAGGUUUCUGGAUCAAAAUGGAACCAAAAGGUGCAUUUGGCACCGUUCAAUCAACCUUAUCAGCAGCACCCAGGAAGGCUUUCCUCUGACACAGGGGGUUUCAUCUGAACACAGAGUUCCUGUGAGUCCAGCAGGCUGCAUUCACAAUCCUUGCGACCUGGAAACCAGCCCCAAGCAGGCAAGAGCUGCUGACCCCCACCCUUUCCUUUCUCCAGAACCUCUUUGUUUCUUCCUCCUGAACCUCCAGGAUUCUUUUUGAGAAUACAUUGUAUUUCCUUUUCUUGAAACAUUUAUGCAGAAAUUGUGUCUCCUAAAUUAGCACUCAAGUUAGGACAGAGCAAGAACCGGGAAAUCAUGUCUGCAUUCUGCACUGUGUUAGGACCAGAUAGAGCCUCAAGAAUGCUUAUUCAAAGAACUUGGAUCCUCUCACAUCCCUUCAACUGUGCCAGCCCACAGAGGCAGGUUACGGCAGGAACGGAGGACGAACUUAGCUCUUGGUUUUCUUUGUUCUAGAACCUUUAUUUACGUGUUUAUUUUAAGAGAGGCUUUCCAGUUGCACAGUCUGGCCUUGAACUCUCCAGGUAGUCAAGGAUGAUCUCGGCCUCAUCAUCCUGUCUCUACCUUCAAGGAGAGACACCCAUCACCAUAUCUGGUUUUAUGUGGUGCCAAGGAUUGAACUCAGAGCUUUAUGCAUGUGAGACAAGAACUCCGCCAACUGAGCUACAUGCCCAGUCUUGCUCUAGAACUUCUGAAUAAAGUGGACAUGGUUCAAAGUGAAUAGGUGCACUGAGCAGUUCCUUGCAGCCUGCAAAAUUAUUGGUGUUUUCAAUUGGAGCUAUCA